GACCGGCGCACGGGUGCGUAACGCGUAUGCAAUCUACCUUUUACAGAGGGAUAGCCCAGAGAAAUUUGGAUUAAUACCUCAUAGUAUUAUUGAAUGGCAUCAUUUAAUAAUUAAAGUCACAACGGUAAAAGAUGAGCAUGCGUCCCAUUAGCUUGUUGGUAAGGUAACGGCUUACCAAGGCAACGAUGGGUAGGGGUCCUGAGAGGGAGAUCCCCCACACUGGUACUGAGACACGGACCAGACUCCUACGGGAGGCAGCAGUGAGGAAUAUUGGUCAAUGGGCGCAAGCCUGAACCAGCCAUGCCGCGUGCAGGAUGACGGUCCUAUGGAUUGUAAACUGCUUUUGUACAGGAAGAAACAGUUCUACGUGUAGAACCUUGACGGUACUGUAAGAAUAAGGAUCGGCUAACUCCGUGCCAGCAGCCGCGGUAAUACGGAGGAUCCAAGCGUUAUCCGGAAUCAUUGGGUUUAAAGGGUCCGUAAG
rnacentral:rRNA from 1 species